AUUAGAUGGAGAUCUCAACCAUAGAAUACGAGCUGGAUGGAUGAAGUGUAAGAGUGUAUCCAGCAUGUUGUGUGACCGUCGUAGGCUACUGAAGCUCAAGGGAAAAUUUUAUAAGACGGCAAUAAGGCCAGCGAUGUUGUAUGGCACAUAAUGUUGGGCGGUGAAACAUCAACACGUACACAAAAUGGGUGUAGCAGAGAUGAGGAUGCUUCGUGGGAUG
rnacentral:lncRNA from 1 species